CGCCAACGCCGUCACGAUAGAACAAAAUCUUCUCUGGGAUAGACUGAGUAUGUUUGGCGAAGUUCAUGACGCACUUCACAAUACCCAUGGCUAUGAAGUUUGAGAGUUCUUCGCCGUCCUUAUGAGCAGACACGGUGCUAUAGGUCAUGACACACGUCAUAUCCACAGAUCAUUAGCCCUUUAACAGGAAUGUUGAUUGCCCACGGAGCACCACCCAGCUUGCAAUUAAUUUGCACAACCACCUAAAUAAAAGUAAUGUUAAAAUUAAAACAUUAAGUUAGUUUUGGUUAGUUAACUGAGAUUCAUUUUGAUUUCAAAUUUCGUAACGUGUUGUAAUAAAAUAUUAAAUCCAAAA